rnacentral:rRNA from 1 species
GGCCUAACACAUGCAAGUCGAGCGGUAGAGAGAAGCUUGCUUCUCUUGAGAGCGGCGGACGGGUGAGUAAUGCCUAGGAAUCUGCCUGGUAGUGGGGGAUAACGUUCGGAAACGGACGCUAAUACCGCAUACGUCCUACGGGAGAAAGCAGGGGACCUUCGGGCCUUGCGCUAUCAGAUGAGCCUAGGUCGGAUUAGCUAGUUGGUGAGGUAAUGGCUCACCAAGGCGACGAUCCGUAACUGGUCUGAGGGGAUGAUCAGUCACACUGGAACUGAGACACGGUCCAGACUCCUACGGGAGGCAGCAGUGGGGAAUAUUGGACAAUGGGCGAAAGCCUGAUCCAGCCAUGCCGCGUGUGUGAAGAAGGUCUUCGGAUUGUAAAGCACUUUAAGUUGGGAGGAAGGGUUGUAGAUUAAUACUCUGCAAUUUUGACGUUACCGACAGAAUAAGCACCGGCUAACCCUGUGCCAGCAGCCGCGGUAAUACAGAGGGUGCAAGCGUUAAUCGGAAUUACUGGGCGUAAAGCGCGCGUAGGUGGUUUGUUAAGUUGGAUGUGAAAUCCCCGGGCUCAACCUGGGAACUGCAUUCAAAACUGACUGACUAGAGUAUGGUAGAGGGUGGUGGAAUUUCCUGUGUAGCGGUGAAAUGCGUAGAUAUAGGAAGGAACACCAGUGGCGAAGGCGACCACCUGGACUAAUACUGACACUGAGGUGCGAAAGCGUGGGGAGCAAACAGGAUUAGAUACCCUGGUAGUCC